GGGCGGGACACGUGUUAUCCUGUCUGAAUAUGGGGGGACCAUCCUCCAAGGCUAAAUACUCCUGACUGACCGAUAGUGAACCAGUACCGUGAGGGAAAGGCGAAAAGAACCCCUGUGAGGGGAGUGAAAUAGAACCUGAAACCGUGUACGUACAAGCAGUAGGAGCACCUUCGUGGUGUGACUGCGUACCUUUUGUAUAAUGGGUCAGCGACUUAUAUUCAGUGGCAAGGUUAACCAUCUAGGGGAGCCGUAGGGAAACCGAGUCUUAACUGGGCGCCAUAGUCUCUGGAUAUAGACCCGAAACCGAGUGAUCUAGCCAUGGGCAGGUUGAAGGUUGAGUAACAUCAACUGGAGGACCGAACCGACUAAUGUUGAAAAAUUAGCGGAUGACUUGUGGCUAGGGGUGAAAGGCCAAUCAAACUCGGAGAUAGCUGGUUCUCCCCGAAAGCUAUUUAGGUAGCGCCUCGGACGAAUACUACUGGGGGUAGAGCACUGUUAAGGCUAGGGGGUCAUCCCGACUUACCAACCCUUUGCAAACUCCGAAUACCAGUAAGUACUAUCCGGGAGACACACGGCGGGUGCUAACGUCCGUCGUGGAGAGGGAAACAACCCAGACCGCCAGCUAAGGUCCCAAAUUACAGCUAAGUGGGAAACGAUGUGGGAAGGCUUAGACAGCUAGGAUGUUGGCUUAGAAGCAGCCAUCAUUUAAAGAAAGCGUAAUAGCUCACUAGUCGAGUCGGCCUGCGCGGAAGAUGUAACGGGGCUAAGUUGUAAACCGAAGCUGCGGCAAUGUUCUUUGAACAUUGGGUAGGGGAGCGUUCUGUAAGCCGUUGAAGGUGUGUUGUAAAGCAUGCUGGAGGUAUCAGAAGUGCGAAUGCUGACAUGAGUAACGACAAGGGGGGUGAAAAACCUCCCCGCCGGAAGACCAAGGGUUCCUGUCCAACGUUAAUCGGGGCAGGGUAAGUCGACCCCUAAGGCGAGGCCGAAAGGCGUAGUCGAUGGGAAACGGGUUAAUAUUCCCGUACUUCUUACAAUUGCGAUGGGGGGACGGAGAAGGCUAGGUGGGCCUGGCGACGGUUGUCCAGGUUCAAGUGCGUAGGCU
rnacentral:rRNA from 1 species